rnacentral:rRNA from 1 species
ACGGCUCAGUAACACGUAGAUAACCUGCCCUAUUGCCUGUGAUAGCCUCGGGAAACUGAGGGUAAGAACGGAUAGGCGCCGACUACUGGAAUGUGUUGGCGCUCAAAAUUUGCAAUAGACUGGGUCUGCGGUGGAUUAGGUUGUUGGCGGGGUAAAGGCCCACCAAGCCGAUGAUCCAUACGGGUUUUUAGCGAAAGGGCCCGGAGAGGGAGUCUGAGACACUACUCCCAGCCCUACGGGGUGCAGCAGUCGGGUAUUUUCUGCAAUGUACGAAAGUAUGACAGAGCGAGCCAGAGUGAUUUACCUUAUUUGGUAAAUCUUUUGUGACAUGUAGAUAGUGUUACGAAUAAGGACCGGGCAAGACUGGUGCCAGUCGCCGCGGUAAUCCCAGCGGUCCAAGUCGCAACCACAAUUAUUGGGUCUAAAACAUCCGUAGCUUGCUUGAUAAGUCUCUUGUGAAAUCCUGCCUCUUAAGGGUAGAAGAGCAAGAGAUACUGCCAAGCUCGAGACCGGGAGAAGUAAGAAGUACGGUAGGGGUACCGGUAAAAUGGGCUGAUCCCUUCUGGACUAACAACAGCGAAGGCAUCUUACUAGCACGGUUCUGACAGUGAGGGAUGAAGGCUAGGGGCGCAAAAGGGAUUAGAUACCCCUGUAGUCCUAGCAGUAAACACUGCACACUAAACAUUGGGGCCUCUUCGAGAGGUUUCAGUGCUGUAGCGAAGGCGCAGAGUGUGCUACCUGGGAAGUAUAGUCGCAAGACCGAAACUUAAAGGAAUUGGCGGGGGAGCACA